ACAAUGGCGUCGGUAAAGACGUGAUGUUGACUGCUGUAAACAGACGUGUAUUAAGAUUUACGAUUUAAACAGGUUGGUAAUAUGUUUAGGUGUCUGUUUUGUGUGAAUAUUUUGAGAGCCUUACACAUGAUACACACUCAUCUGCAAAGUCCCAAACCUCGCACAGUUUAUCACGAACCCUUGUACAUUGCUCCUGAGGUUGGGUUUGACUAUUCUGAGGCUAUAUGACUUGCAUAAGGAGAUUGUGGUGUGGGUUCUUGCUUGAAGACUCAGGGUAAAUAAAAAAUCUUUUCAUACAAUUAAAGUGAUGUCAGUAAGUACUUUGCAAUUAAUUUUUGUCUUCCCUCAAGGUCUCCUUAAGAACGAAAAAAGACACAGAAAUGUAUAGAGCUUAUCUUGGGCAUCUGUACUCUCAGUUCAAUGCAAAUAUAGCAAGUUAACAAGUUGGUUAUUUGUUUGAGAGAUUUGUUUGAUUACAGUUGGAGCAAAACUGUGCAGAGCUGCGGUACUCCAAGAAUUGACUUUGACACCUAUGCCUUAAUAGAACGGGGUUGGACCCCAUUUGCCUUCAGAACUGCCAUAAUUCUUCGUGGCAUAGAUUC
rnacentral:lncRNA from 1 species